ACGCCCGUAGCUCAGGUGGAUAGAGCAUCGGUCUUCUAAACCGAGGGUCGCUGGUUCGAGUCCAGCCGGGCGUGCCA
rnacentral:tRNA from 1 species